UAAGUAAGCGGAGGAAGAGAAACUAAAUAGGAUUCCCUCAGUAAUGGCGAACGAACAGGGAAGAGCUCAGAUUGGAUAUCGGGGCCUGUGGCUCCGAAUUGUAGUCUCGAAAUGCAAUGCCAUCGGGGGCGCAGAUUUAAGCCUCUUGGAAGAGAGCGCCGGCGAGGGUGAGAGUCCCGUUCGUCAAUUUGCAGUCCUCCGUACACGGCUUGCACUUGUUGAGUCACGUUCCUCGGGAUUGGAGCGCAAAUAGGGUGGUAAAUUUCAUCUAAAGCUAAAUAUAUGUUUGAGACCGAUAGCACACAAGUACCAUGAGGGAAAGAUGAAAAGGACUUUGAAAAGAGAGUUAAAAGUGCCUGAAAUUGCUGCAAGGGAAGCGGAUGGAACCAGUCCACGCGGUGAGAUUGUUGGGCGGAGGCGUGCGGGGUUGCACUUUCAACGAAAGUGGGGGUGUGAGUCUCAAUCGCCUUUCGCCUGAUGGUUCUUGCCGUGGGGGUCAUUGGUGAUUGGCAGCCGGGGAAACCUUCAAAGGCAUGGUAGCCCGUCUCCGGAUGGGUGAACGCGUUUGAUAGCACUCGGCCGCUGAUCAUAUCCGAGGUGUCCGGUAACUGGCGGCCUUGAGCGCAACGCGAGAACCAAAUCGGUUCUUGCUGCGCGUUCGGCCGUAGGUCCUGACACACAUCUACGACCAAAUGGUUCUUUCCGACCCGUCUUGAA
rnacentral:rRNA from 1 species